AACAAAAGAAGAGAGAGAGCACAGCCUCUCAUGAAAAUAUUCUUUGUAUAUAAAACAUAAAUGAAGGAUUUUCCCAAUCCAGGGGCUGUACUCUCUCUCUUCUUCUAUA
rnacentral:pre_miRNA from 1 species